rnacentral:rRNA from 1 species
UACGUAGGGGGCAAGCGUUGUCCGGAUUUAUUGGGUGUAAAGAGCGUGUAGGCGGCCAUACAGGUCAGCUGUGAAAACUCGAGGCUCAACCUCGAGACGUCGGUUGAAACCGUAUGGCUAGAGUCCGGAAGAGGAGAGUGGAAUUCCCGGUGUAGCGGUGAAAUGCGCAGAUAUCGGGAAGAACACCUAUGGCGAAGGCAGCUCUCUGGGACGGUACUGACGCUGAGACGCGAAAGCAUGGGGAGCGAACAGG